CCUACGGGAGGCAGCAGUGAGGAAUAUUGGUCAAUGGCCGCAGGGCUGAACCAGCCAAGUCGCGUGAGGGAUGACGGUCCUAUGGAUUGUAAACCUCUUUUGUCAGGGAGCAAAGGGCGCCACGUGUGGCGCUUUGCGAGUACCUGAAGAAAAAGCAUCGGCUAACUCCGUGCCAGCAGCCCCGGUAAUACGGAGGAUGCGAGCGUUGUCCGGAUUUAUUGGGUUUAAAGGGUGCGCAGGCGGAAUGUCAAGUCAGCGGUAAAAUUUCGGGGCUCAACCCCGUCGUGCCGUUGAAACUGGCGUUCUUGAGUGAGCUAGAAGUAUGCGGAAGGCGUGGUGUAGCGGUGAAAUGCAUAGAUAUCACGCAGAACUCCGAUUGCGAAGGCAGCAUACCGGCGCUCAACUGACGCUCAUGCACGAAAGUGUGGGUAUCGAACAGGAUUAGAUACCCGAGUAGUC
rnacentral:rRNA from 1 species